rnacentral:rRNA from 1 species
UACGUAGGGUGCAAGCGUUGUCCGGAAUUAUUGGGCGUAAAGAGCUCGUAGGCGGUCUGUCACGUCGGCUGUGAAAUCCCGAGGCUCAACCUCGGGUCUGCAGUCGAUACGGGCAAACUAGAGUAUUGCAGGGGAGACUGGAAUUCCUGGUGUAGCAGUGAAAUGCGCAGAUAUCAGGAGGAACACCGGUGGCGAAGGCGGGUCUCUGGGCAAUAACUGACGCUGAGGAGCGAAAGCGUGGGGAGCGAACAGG